rnacentral:lncRNA from 1 species
GGCGACACAUCAACCGACCAUGGCGGGCAGCAACAGGAGCUAGCGCGCGGUGGGAGGCAGCAACAGGAGUUAGGAUUUGAUGCAGAUCUGACGGACCUCAUUUUUCCACAUAUCUUAAACAUUGAAAGUUAAAAUUACCGACCCUAUCCACCUUCCGGAAAUGGAUAGGAUUUCCGGAUCCACUUUCAUCGCUGCCGGGCCAGCCCAUGGGCCCUGAGUCACCAUGAGCCUAGUCUGGCUACCAGCAGCUCACAAAAGCACCUCAGGAAUACAAUAUCGUUUCAGUUUUGGUUUGCACAUGCUUAAAUACUUUUUUAAAAGCUAUGCUUAUAAAACAAAAAA